rnacentral:misc_RNA from 1 species
AUCCCAAGCCUUCUGGCGAUCUGUUUAUGCAAGCCUCUGAGGGGGUGGAAGAUAGUGUUUCUUUGAUCAGAUUAUGCGAUUGAAAAUUUUCUGAUUUUCCUCGUAGGGCUUGUAGCUCAGUCGGUUAGAGCGCGCGCUUGAUAAGCGUGAGGUCGGAGGUUCAAGUCCUCCCAGGCCCACCAGUUACACUAUGCAGCAAAUUGCUUUGGUGACUGAAAGUUGCUCUGAGUGAGAAUGUUAAAAUCCAGUGAAAAUAUUACUACUUCCCUUAUUGAGUAAUCUCUUAGAGAAAAUUUAUACUUAAAUAAAUUCUUCUAAGAGCGUUCAAAACCUCCAUAAGAACUCAAAGCCUUCCAUAGAAACAAAGUCUUCGCGAGAAUUUUUCUCUCUCCUCUUUAGGAGGGGAAAAACAGGAAAAUAACAAGAGAAAUAAAAGGCUAAUAUUGUAUUCCUCAAUCAAUGUUAUAUCUCUCUUUGUAAAAAGCUUAAAGAAGCUUCUGUUUAAAAAAGUAUGGCGUUUUUAUUAAAAGCAAAAGACGUGAGGGCAUUUCAGACUUUUUAGGGGCCGUAGCUCAGCUGGGAGAGCACCUGCUUUGCAAGCAGGG